CAAGCUGGUCUGAAACUCCUCACCUCAAGUGAUCCACCCGACUUGGUCUCCGAAAGCACUGGGAGUACAGGUGUGAGCCACAGCAGCCGGCCUCAUUGCAUCUUCUAGGUGUUCUUUGAAAAAAAUGUGUUGACUGCGUACAUAUCUCCAGGUGCAGCCAUGUUGCUGGAAAUGAUAGGAUUCCAUGAAUUUUGAUGGCCCAAAAUUAUCCCAUUGUGUCUGUGUACUAGAGAUUCUUCAUCCCUUCAUCUGUGGAUG
rnacentral:lncRNA from 1 species